AUCUUUGACGGGUUUCUCCACCCGGGCUAGGGAACGCGCUUCUUGUCGUCUCGUCACCUCCAUGUUGAAAUUUUUUUGAACCCUAAUUCCCAAUUUCAUAUAACCUAAACACGGGUUUGUGGUUUCCUUGAUUGUACUUUGUGUUUACAGUCUCUUUGUUUGCCUCUUAUGUUUGGUUUUGGGCGCGGGAAGAACCCCCUUUGUUUGGUUUUGGCUCCGACAAGAGAGCUUGCGCGUCAGGUUGAGAAGGAGUUCAGGGAAUUUGCUCCAAGCUUGGAUACUAUAUGUCUUUACGGAGGUACACCGAUGGGACAGCAAGUGCGGGAGCUCAACUAUGGUGUUGAUGUUGCUGUUGAGACUCCAUGUCGUAUCAUUGAUCUGAUGAAAAGGGGAGUUUGUGGUUCUUGAUGAAGCGGAUCAGAUGCUUCAGGUUGGAUUUGUGUAGGAUGCGGAAGUUAUAUUGGGAAGUUGCCUGAGAAACGUUAGAGCAUGAUGUUUUCUGCUAUAAUGCCGAGUUGGAUUAGAUCGCUAACCAAAAAGUACCUGAAUAAUUCUUUGACGAUUGAUCUCGCUCAUGGUAAAGGAGGAAAAUUCAUUGUUGUUCAGGUGGUUAUGGUGGUAGUGGUAGAUAUGGUGGUGAUCGUUUAGGAGGAUCAGACAACCAUUAUUCUGGCGGUUCAGACCGUUCUUCCAGUUACAGGGGCUUUGGUUCAGGAGGUUCGUUCAUCAGGUUUUGCAGGAUUUGGUUCAGGCCGUUCACAGUCAAGUGGAAAGAGCAGCUUUGGUGGUUUUGGAUUGAAAGAUCCUAACAGAUCUUACUGAGAAGUCUUGUGUGAGUUAUGAUCUGAGCCGGCAAUAAUGGAGGGCUUGGUGACUUGAGACUUUGAGUAGAGUUUAGUUAUAAGCUAUAUAUAAAUAUGUAGCUCCCUGCCAAAUAAAUAAACAUGUUUUAUUUUGAAGUUGUUGUCAUCACUAAUUUAUUUUUUACACUGGUAGAAGAAUUGUUCCUUUCUA